rnacentral:rRNA from 1 species
UACGAGGGGGGCAAAUGUUGUUCGGAAUCACUGGGCGUAAAGGGAGCGUAGGCGGGUUUCUAAGUCAGGUGUUUAAUCCCGGGGCCCAACUCCGGACAGGCACUUGAAACUGGGAAUCUUGAAUAGGGGAGAGGUCAGUGGAAUUGGAGGUGUAGCGGUGGAAUGCGUAGAGAUCUCCAAGAACACCAGUUGCGAAGGCGGCUGACUGGACCCAUAUUGACGCUGAGGCUCGAAAGCAUGGGGAGCAAACAGG